rnacentral:rRNA from 1 species
GACAUAGGUGGCGACCGUUAUCCGGAUUUAUUGGGCGUAAAGAGCUCGUAGGCGGCUUGUCACGUCGAUUGUGAAAGCUCGGGGCUUAACCCCGAGUCUGCAGUCGAUACGGGCUAGCUAGAGUGUGGUAGGGGAGAUCGGAAUUCCUGGUGUAGCGGUGAAAUGCGCAGAUAUCAGGAGGAACACCGGUGGCGAAGGCGGAUCUCUGGGCCAUUACUGACGCUGAGGAGCGAAAGCGUGGGGAGCGAACAGG